rnacentral:rRNA from 1 species
AGAGUUUGAUCCUGGCUCAGAACGAACGCUGGCGGCAGGCCUAACACAUGCAAGUCGAGCGAACCUUCGGGUUAGCGGCGGACGGGUGAGUAACGCGUGGGAACGUACCCUCUUCUGCGGGAUAGCCACUGGAAACGGUGAGUAAUACCGCAUACGCCCUUCGGGGGAAAGAUUUAUCGGAGGAGGAUCGGCCCGCGUUGGAUUAGGUAGUUGGUGGGGUAAUGGCCUACCAAGCCUACGAUCCAUAGCUGGUUUUAGAGGAUGAUCAGCCACACUGGGACUGAGACACGGCCCAGACUCCUACGGGAGGCAGCAGUGGGGAAUCUUAGACAAUGGGCGCAAGCCUGAUCUAGCCAUGCCGCGUGAGUGACGAAGGCCUUAGGGUCGUAAAGCUCUUUCGCCAGAGAUGAUAAUGACAGUAUCUGGUAAAGAAACCCCGGCUAACUCCGUGCCAGCAGCCGCGGUAAUACGGAGGGGGUUAGCGUUGUUCGGAAUUACUGGGCGUAAAGCGCACGUAGGCGGAUUGGAAAGUUGGGGGUGAAAUCCCAGGGCUCAACCCUGGAACGGCCUCCAAAACUCCCAGUCUGGAGUUCGAGAGAGGUGAGUGGAAUUCCGAGUGUAGAGGUGAAAUUCGUAGAUAUUCGGAGGAACACCAGUGGCGAAGGCGGCUCACUGGCUCGAUACUGACGCUGAGGUGCGAAAGUGUGGGGAGCAAACAGGAUUAGAUACCCUGGUAGUCCACACCGUAAACGAUGAAUGCCAGUCGUCGGCAAGCAUGCUUGUCGGUGACACACCUAACGGAUUAAGCAUUCCGCCUGGGGAGUACGGUCGCAAGAUUAAAACUCAAGGAA